rnacentral:lncRNA from 1 species
AUGAAGGAGGAGGCCCCCGCAGGGCGCCCUUGGAGCCUGGGCCUGGUCACCCGCAGGGAAAGGAUUUCCACAACCCAGCAAGGCAACCUGAGGUCAGAGGGAGCGGCCUCUGCUCCUGUGUCCUUCCCAGGCUGGUGUUUGCCAGCCCUGCGGUACCAGGCUCUGCCCUGGGAGCCAGGACAGGAGGGAACUGAUGCCCGUUCUCACACAGCACAGCCAGACAGUGAAGCCUUAUUUCAAAAGUGUGAGUUGGGGUCUUCCUCUGCAACAGCUGUAAACCCCGCACACCAGAAAAGUCCACGCUGUUGGUCACAGAGAUUGGAUGAAGGACUAACAUGUGAGACUCAAGCCUGGACUUGUGCUGCAACGGCUCUGGUUUGGAUAAGCUCUGCUACUGUGGGACCCCUGGUACCAUGUAUAUCCAAUCCAGCAAUGGCUUCCUGGGACUGUGGAGACUUCACAGGCUGACCUGCACCUGAAAUUAAUUAGAUAUGAAGACAAAGAAAAAGAAAUGUAACAUGUACAGUUUUUUGGUUUGGCAAAAUGACACACAAAAUAAACAUUUUAAUUUGUCUGAAACUUCAAAAUGGAUAUUGUUUUUACACCCAAAAUGCUC